UACAGAGGUGGCAAGCGUUGUUCGGAAUUACUGGGCGUAAAGGGCGCGUAGGCGGCCUUCUAAGUCGAACGUGAAAGCCCCAGGCUUAACCUGGGAACUGCGUUUGAUACUGGAAGGCUUGGAUUCGGGAGAGGGAUGCGGAAUUCCAGGUGUAGCGGUGAAAUGCGUAGAUAUCUGGAGGAACACCGGUGGCGAAGGCGGCAUCCUGGACCGAGAUCGACGCUGAGGAGCGAAAGCUAGGGGAGCAAACGGG
rnacentral:rRNA from 1 species